CGGAGGGGCUAGCGUUGUUCGGAAUGACUGGGCGUAAAAGCGCGCGUAGGCGGAUUGGCAAGUUGGGGGUGAAAUCCCGGGGGCUCAACCUCGGAAUGGCCUUCAAGACUGCCGGUCUUGAGUUCGAGAGAGGUGAGUGGAAUUCCGAGUGUAGAGGUGAAAUUCGUAGAUAUUCGGAGGAACACCAGUGGCGAAGGCGGCUCACUGGCUCGACACUGACGCUGAGGUGCGAAAGCGUGGGGGAGCAAACAGGAUU
rnacentral:rRNA from 1 species